rnacentral:rRNA from 1 species
GAUGAACGCUGGCGGCGUGCCUAAUACAUGCAAGUCGAGCGAACAGACGAGGAGCUUGCUCCUCUGACGUUAGCGGCGGACGGGUGAGUAACACGUGGAUAACCUACCUAUAAGACUGGGAUAACUUCGGGAAACCGGAGCUAAUACCGGAUAAUAUAUUGAACCGCAUGGUUCAAUAGUGAAAGACGGUUUUGCUGUCACUUAUAGAUGGAUCCGCGCCGCAUUAGCUAGUUGGUAAGGUAACGGCUUACCAAGGCAACGAUGCGUAGCCGACCUGAGAGGGUGAUCGGCCAGACUGGAACUGAGACACGGCCCAGACUCCUACGGGAGGCAUCAGUAGGGAAUCUUCCGCAAUGGGCGAAAGCCUGACGGAGCAACGCCGCGUGAGUGAUGAAGGUCUUCGGAUCGUAAAACUCUGUUAUUAGGGAAGAACAAAUGUGUAAGUAACUAUGCACGUCUUGACGGUACCUAAUCAGAAAGCCACGGCUAACUACGUG